GGCAAGAUGGCCGAGCGGUCUAAGGCGCCACGUUAAGGAAUUCAUCCCUUAAUUCACGAUUCCGAGGGGUUCCUGCCCCCUCGCCAUCAACUGAUCCCGUGGUCCGAAAGGGCGUGGGUUCGAAUCCCACUCUUGUCA